GACGAACGCUGGCGGCGUGCCUAGUACAUGCAAGUAGAACGCUGAAGGAGGAGCUUGCUUCUCUGGAUGAGUUGCGAACGGGUGAGUAACGCGUAGGUAACCUGCCUGGUAGCGGGGGAUAACUAUUGGAAACGAUAGCUAAUACCGCAUAACAGUAGAUAUCGCAUGAUAUCUACUUGAAAGGUGCAAUUGCAUCACUACCAGAUGGACCUGCGUUGUAUUAGCUAGUUGGUGAGGUAACGGCUCACCAAGGCGACGAUACAUAGCCGACCUGAGAGGGUGAUCGGCCACACUGGGACUGAGACACGGCCCAGACUCCUACGGGAGGCAGCAGUAGGGAAUCUUCGGCAAUGGACGGAAGUCUGACCGAGCAACGCCGCGUGAGUGAAGAAGGUUUUCGGAUCGUAAAGCUCGGUUGUAAGAGAAGAAAGAGUGUGAGAGUGGAAAGUUCACACUGUGACGGUACCUUACCAGAAAGGGACGGCUAACUACGUG
rnacentral:rRNA from 1 species